UACGUAGGGUGCAAGCGUUGUCCGGAAUUAUUGGGCGUAAAGAGCUCGUAGGCGGUUUGUCGCGUCGGCUGUGAAAACUCGGGGCUCAACUCCGAGCUUGCAGUCGAUACGGGCUGACUGGAGUUCGGCAGGGGAGACUGGAAUUCCUGGUGUAGCGGUGAAAUGCGCAGAUAUCAGGAGGAACACCGGUGGCGAAGGCGGGUCUCUGGGCCGAUACUGACGCUGAGGAGCGAAAGCGUGGGGAGCAAACAGG
rnacentral:rRNA from 1 species